rnacentral:ncRNA from 2 species
AAUGAUCUUCGGGGCAAGGUGCAAUUCCUGACCGGCAGUAAAGUCUGCGAACGGAGAGGCUUCUCUCCGCCGAACCGGUGAAAUUCCGGUACCGACGGUGAACCGCGUUUUACGCGGCAAAGUCCGGAUGAUAGAAGAUUGGA